UACAGAGGCCUCGAGCGUUGCGCGGAAUCACUGGGCUUAAAGGGUGCGUAGGCGGAUGUGCAAGUGCCUUGUGAAAUCCCAGAGCUCAACUCUGGAACUGCUUGGUAGACUGCAUGUCUUGAGGUCGGUAGGGGUCGCUGGAACAGUUGGUGGAGCGGUGAAAUGCGUAGAUAUCAACUGGAACGCCAAAGGUGAAGACAAGCGACUGGGCCGAUUCUGACGCUGAGGCACGAAAGCGUGGGGAGCAAACGGG
rnacentral:misc_RNA from 1 species